GUAGGGAAUAUUGGACAAUGGGCGAAAGCCUGAUCCAGCCAUGCCGCGUGAUAGAUGAAGGCCCUCUGGGUUGUAAAUAUCUUUUAUCUGGGAAGAAACUCCUCUAUUCUUAGAGGCCUGACGGUACCAGAGGAAUAAGCACCGGCUAACUCCGUGCCAGCAGCCGCGGUAAUACGGAGGGUGCAAGCGUUAUCCGGAUUCACUGGGUUUAAAGGGUGCGUAGGCGGGUUGAUAAGUCAGUGGUGAAAGCUCCGGGCUUAACUUGGAAACUGCCAUUGAUACUGUCAAUCUUGAAUGUCGUAGAGGUAAGCGGAAUGUUGCAUGUAGCGGUGAAAUGCUUAGAUAUGUUACAGAACACCAAUUGCGAAGGCAGCUUACUAUGCGAUAAUUGACGCUGAGGCACGAAAGCGUGGGGAGCAAACAGGAUUAGAAACCCGUGUAGUCC
rnacentral:rRNA from 1 species